UACGUAGGGACCGAGCGUUGUCCGGAAUCAUUGGGCGUAAAGAGCGUGUAGGCGGCCACUUAAGUCCUGCGUGAAAUCUUGCGGCUCAACCGCAAGCGGUCGUGGGAAACUGGGUGGCUAGAGUGCGGGAGAGGAGAGUGGAAUUCCUGGUGUAGCGGUGGAAUGCGCAGAUAUCAGGAAGAACACCCGUGGCGAAGGCGGCUCUCUGGACCAUAACUGACGCUGAUGCACGAAAGCUAGGGGAGCAAACAGG
rnacentral:rRNA from 1 species